rnacentral:rRNA from 1 species
AACGAACGUUGGCGGUGUGCCUAAUACAUGCAAGUCGAGCGAGAAAACGGGGGCAACUCCGUGAGUACAGCGGCGGAAGGGUGCGUAAUACAUGGUUAACGUACCCCCCAGUUCGGGAUAACCCUCCGAAAGGUGGGCUAAUACCGGGUAAUGGCAGCGGGUGGCAUCAUUUGCUGCUUAAAGACGCAAGUCGCUGGGGGAGCGGACCAUGGCCUAUCAGCUAGUUGGCGGGGUAACGGCCCACCAAGGCAAUGACGGGUAGCCGGACUGAGAGGUUGAACGGCCACACGGGAACUGAGACACGGUCCCGACAUCUACGGAUGGCAGCAGUAGGGAAUCUUGCGCAAUGGGCGAAAGCCUGACGCAGCGACACCGCGUGGGGAUGAA